GUUAGGAUGGCAGAACCCGGCCAUUGCAAAAGACCUAAGCCCUUUACACAGGGGUUCAAAUCCCCUUCCUAACC
rnacentral:tRNA from 1 species